AGUAUAGGACUCCCUCUUCAGCCUUCACGUCCAAACCCCACAACCUCUGUGUUUUCUCAUAUACGCUGGAUCCUCCUGCCGCCACCAUGAAUCACCGCCACUGCAUCGAUUUCUCUUUGCCUCUCCAUCGUCGUUCAAUCCAGCCCAUCAUAUUCUAUAUCGGCAAAUUAUUUUGAGAAACCAGUAGGCUGUAAUGGUUCUUCAUCGCAUGAGAGGAGAAUAGAGGCAACCCCAUUACCCUCAAAGUGUUCGGCAAAGUGCUAAGGAUUUCAUUAGUGGAAAUUCAAUUCAUUCCAGCCAAUCUCAAUAGGGUUGUAAUGUUAGCUAAUUAUGCAAGAAUGAUGAAAAGAACUGAGAAGGAAAAAGGACUUUGUUUAGGAGACACUUGAAAUAGGAAAGAAGCCUAAAGGUUGCUUCUAAUGUUGCUGCACUUGGAUGAUUCAAAAAUUAUGUAGACAUGUGCUUAUGCAUGAUAUGUGAUGUUUUGUUUUGUUUGGAAAAAUUUAUAUUUUUGAGCUUCUUCAAUAAAUGAUUUUAUUUUUUUGGAGUUAUGUAUAUAUGUGUAAUUGUUAUUUACCUUAAUUCUUACCUAUUAAAAACAUAUCAUCUAUCCUGAUACU